rnacentral:rRNA from 1 species
UCGAACGAGAUCUUCGGAUCUAGUGGCGCACGGGUGCGUAACGCGUGGGAAUCUGCCCUUGGGUUCGGAAUAACAGUUAGAAAUGACUGCUAAUACNCGGAUGAAGUCUACGGACCAAAGGUUAUUCGCCCANGGGAUGAGCCCGCGUAGGAUUAGCUAGUUGGUGGGGUAAAGGCCUACCAAGGCGACGAUCCUUAGCUGGUCUGAGAGGAUGAUCAGCCACACUGGGACUGAGACACGGCCCAGACUCCUACGGGAGGCAGCAGUGGGGAAUAUUGGACAAUGGGGGCAACCCUGAUCCAGCAAUGCCGCGUGAGUGAUGAAGGCCUUCGGGUCGUAAAGCUCUUUUACCCGGGAUGAUAAUGACAGUACCGGGAGAAUAAGCCCCGGCUAACUCCGUGCCA